rnacentral:rRNA from 1 species
AUUGAACGCUGGCGGCAUGCUUUACACAUGCAAGUCGAACGGCAGCGCGGGCUUCGGCCUGGCGGCGAGCGGCGAACGGGUGAGUAAUACAUCGGAACGUGCCCAGUAGUGGGGGAUAGCUCGGCGAAAGCCGGAUUAAUACCGCAUACGACCUGAGGGUGAAAGCGGGGGAUCUUCGGACCUCGCGCUAUUGGAGCGGCCGAUGGCAGAUUAGCUAGUUGGUGGGGUAAAGGCCUACCAAGGCGACGAUCUGUAGCUGGUCUGAGAGGACGACCAGCCACACUGGGACUGAGACACGGCCCAGACUCCUACGGGAGGCAGCAGUGGGGAAUUUUGGACAAUGGGCGAAAGCCUGAUCGAGCAAUGCCGCGUGUGUGAUGAAGGCCUUCGGGUUGUAAAGCACUUUUGGCGGGAACGAAAAGGACUGUGCCAAUACCACGGUUCGAUGACGGUACCCGCAGAAUAAGCACCGGCUAACUACGUG